rnacentral:sRNA from 1 species
GCCUAGCCCUGAUGGGAGGGAAAAUCCUUUUAUUUUUUCUUUUUAAAAAUAAAAGAUUUGGAAGGACAGCAGGAAAUUGC